GCAGCCGCGGUAAUACGGAGGAUGCGAGCGUUAUCCGGAUUUAUUGGGUUUAAAGGGUGCGUAGGCGGAUUUGCAAGUCGGCGGUAAAAUGUCGGGGCUCAACCCCGGCCGGCCGUCGAAACUGUGAGUCUUGAGUGAGCGAGAAGCAGGCGGAAUGCGUGGUGUAGCGGUGAAAUGCAUAGAUAUCACGCAGAACCCCGAUUGCGAAGGCAGCCUGCCGGCGCUCAACUGACGCUGAGGCACGAAAGCGCGGGUAUCGAACAGGAUUAGAUACCCC
rnacentral:rRNA from 1 species